CAGUCGCCGCGGGAAUACGAAGGGGGCUAGCGUUGCUCGGAAUCACUGGGCGUAAAGGGUGCGUAGGCGGGUCUUUAAGUCAGAGGUGAAAGCCUGGAGCUCAACUCCAGAACUGCCUUUGAGACUGCAUCGCUUGAAUCCAGGAGAGGUGAGUGGAAUUCCGAGUGUAGAGGUGAAAUUCGUAGAUAUUCGGAAGAACACCAGUGGCGAAGGCGGCUCACUGGACUGGUAUUGACGCUGAGGUGCGAAAGCGUGGGGAGCAAACAGGAUUAGAUACCCCUGUAGUCCCUGUCUCUUAUAA
rnacentral:rRNA from 1 species